rnacentral:piRNA from 1 species
UAGCCAUUUCUUUGUUGGGUCCUACUGAA